rnacentral:rRNA from 1 species
GGACUACUGGGGUAUCUAAUCCUGUUUGCUACCCACGCUUUCGUGCCUCAACGUCAGGAUUGGACCAAGGAGCUGCCUUCGCCAUUGGUGUUCCUCUCGAUAUCUACGCAUUUUACCGCUACUCCGAGAAUUCCACUCCUCUCUUCCAACCUCUAGCCUAUCAGUUUCGAUCGCACUCCCCCAGUUAGGCCGGGGUCUUUAACAACCGACUUAAUAAGCCGUCUACGCACCCUGUACGCCCAGUAAUUCCGAAUAACGCUAGCACCCUACGUAUUACCGCGGCUGCUGGCAC